rnacentral:lncRNA from 1 species
GAGAAUCUUAAUUAUUUCAAAGAACCAUAAUUAAAGUUCACUUGUCACGUCAUCAACGAGAAGUUACUUGAAACCCUUUUUCCGACCACACUACUGAAGUUAUUGAAGCACCUUGGUAUGCUUCUUGACAGAUUAUUACUCGCCACAAAAUAUGAAGGCCAGUAAGAUGACAUAAUUCCCGUGAAAUAGUUACCCAAAACUUCUUCACACAAAGCUUGAGAAUAACAGGUUUUGAAAGUUUUUUGCAGAUCCAUCCCAGUAUAUUUCCACUAAACAGGUUACCUCCUAGGUCGAGCACCUUCAAAUUGACACAUUUCAGCAGUGAUGUGAGCAAUUUUCCAGACAAAUUGGCGAAGUCUGAUUCAGAUAUGGCUCCCUCCACUGAAUUGAAUGAAAUGCUUUGAGGAAUCCUAUUCGGGUUUAAUUGUCAAAUUCUAUUUAAAGUUCUAUUUUUAAGUCCAUUGGGAGUUGGAAAUUGAGUCGGACUUGAAGAACUCAAAUAAGGAAAAUUUUAGGCAUUUUAUUUCGUCUACAACUCUACUUUCAGAGAUGGAUUUUCUCUAUAAAUAUGAGGAUCCUCUGUCAGUUUUUUGAGAAGCAAUUUUGCUACGUUGUACUUGUUUUUUC